CCUACGGGUGGCUGCAGUAGGGAAUAUUGGUCAAUGGAUGGAAGUCUGAACCAGCCAUGCCGCGUGCAGGAAGAAGGCCUUCUGGGUUGUAAACUGCUUUUGCCAGGGGAUAAAAAUUCUUUGCGAAGAAAAUUGAAGGUACCUGGUGAAUAAGCACCGGCUAACUACGUGCCAGCAGCCGCGGUAAUACGUAGGGUGCAAGCGUUGUCCGGAUUUAUUGGGUUUAAAGGGUGCGUAGGCGGCCUUGUAAGUCAGUGGUGAAAUACUCCAGCUUA
rnacentral:rRNA from 1 species